UACGUAGGGUGCGAGCGUUAAUCGGAAUUACUGGGCGUAAAGCGUGCGCAGGCGGUUUUGUAAGCCAGAUGUGAAAUCCCCGGGCUCAACCUGGGAAUGGCAUUUGGGACUGCAAGGCUGGAGUGUGGCAGAGGAGACUGGAAUUCCUGGUGUAGCAGUGAAAUGCGUAGAUAUCAGGAGGAAUACCGAUGGCGAAGGCAGGUCUCUGGGCUGACACCGACGCUCAUGCACGAAAGCGUGGGGAGCAAACAGG
rnacentral:rRNA from 1 species